UACGUAGGUGGUAAGCGUUAUCCGGAUUUACUGGGUGUAAAGGGCGUGUAGGCGGGGACGCAAGUCAGAUGUGAAAACCACGGGCUCAACCUGUGGCCUGCAUUUGAAACUGUGUUUCUUGAGUACUGGAGAGGCAGACGGAAUUCCUAGUGUAGCGGUGAAAUGCGUAGAUAUUAGGAGGAACACCAGUGGCGAAGGCGGUCUGCUGGACAGCAACUGACGCUGAGGCGCGAAAGCGUGGGGAGCAAACAGG
rnacentral:rRNA from 1 species